rnacentral:rRNA from 1 species
GGUUCGAUUAUGGCUCAGAUUGAACGCUGGCGGGAUGCUUUACACAUGCAAGUCGAACGGCAGCACGGACUUCGGUCUGGUGGCGAGUGGCGAACAGGUGAGUAAUGUAUCGGAACGUGCCUAGUAGCGGGGGAUAACUACGCGAAAGCGUAGCUAAUACCGCAUACGCCCUUGAGGAAAGCAGGGGACCUUCGGGCCUCGCACUAUUAAGCGGCCGAUAUCGGAUUAGCUGGUUAAUUGGGGUAACGGCUCACCAAGGCGACGAUCCGUAGCUGGUUUGAGAGGACGACCAGCCACACAGGACUGAGACACGGCCCAGACUCUACAGGAGGCAGCAGUGGGGAAUUUUGGACAAUGGGGGAAACCCUGAUCCAGCCAUCCCGCGUGUGCGAUGAAGGCCUUCGGUUUGUAAAGCACUUUUAGCGGGAAAAAAACGGCACGGGAUAAUACCCCGUGCAACUGACAACCACCUGCAGGUAAGCACCGGCUAACUACGUGCCAGCAGCCGCGGUAAUACGUAGGGUGCAAGCGUUAAUCGGAAUUACUGGGCGUAAAGCGUGCGCAGGCGGUUCGGAAAAGAAGAUGUGAAAUCCCAGAGCUUAACUUUGGAACUGCAUUUUUAACUACCGAGCUAGAGUGUGUCAGAGGGAGGUGGAAUUCCGCGUGUAGCAGUGAAAUACGUAGAUAUGCGGAGGAACACCGAUGGCGAAGGCAGCCUCCUGGGAUAACACUGACGCUCAUGCACGAAAGCGUGGGGAGCAAACAGGAUUAGAUACCCUGGUAGUCCACGCCCUAAACGAUGUCAACUAGCUGUUGGGGCCUUCGGGCCGUAGUAGCGCAACUAACGCGUGAAGUUGACCGCCUGGGAUACGGUCGCAAGAUUAAAACUCAAAGGAAUUGACGGGGACCCGCACAAGCGGUGGAUGAUGUGGAUUAAUUCGAUGCAACGCGAAAAACCUUACCUACCCUUGACAUGUCUGGAAUCCCGAAGAGAUUUGGGAGUGCUCGCAAGAGAACAGGAACUACGAGCGCUGCAUGGCUGUCGUCAGCUCGUGUCGUGAGAUGUUGGGUUAAGUCCCGCAACGAGCGCAACCCUUGUCAUUAGUUGCUACGAAAGGGCGCUCUAAUGAGACUGCCGGUGACAAACCGGAGGAAGGUGGGGAUGACGUCAAGUCCUCAUGGCCCUUAUGGGUAGGGCUACACACGUCAUACAAUGGUCAGGACAGAGAGACGCCAACCCGCGAGGGAGCCAAUCCCAGAAACCCGAUCGUAGUCCGGAUCGCAGUCUGCAACUCGACUGCGUGAAGUCGGAAUCGCUAGUAAUCGCGGAUCAGCAUGUCGCGGUGAAUACGUUCCCGGGUCUUGUACACACCGCCCGUCACACCAUGGGAGUGGGUUUUACCAGAAGUAGUUAGCCUAACCGUAAAGGAGGGCGAUUACCACGGUAGGAUUCAUGACUGGGGUGAAGUCGUAACAAGGUAG